rnacentral:rRNA from 1 species
UACGGAGGGUGCAAGCGUUAUCCGGAUUCACUGGGUUUAAGGGGUGCGUAGGUGGGUUGGGAAGUCCGUGGUGAAAUCCCCAAGCUUAACUUGGGAACUGCCGUGGAUACUCUCAAUCUUGAAUAUCGUGGAGGUAAGCGGAAUAUGUCAUGUAGCGGUGAAAUGCUUAGAUAUGACAUAGAACACCGAUAGCGAAGGCAGCUUGCUACGCGAUUAUUGACACUGAGGCACGAAAGCGUGGGGAGCAAACAGG